AUUUAAUAUACCCAAUUUCAUAAACAGAUUUAAAUUUUUGCUCAUUAAAACAAGCUUACAAUCACUAUGUAAUUUAGAAGGAAUGUCCUAAAUAAGGUGUCCCUCUCUAAACAGAGUUUUAUCCUUGAAGCAGUGACUAACUGUCCAAAAAGAAAAGGCUUUGCUCAAUGGUACAAUGUAAAAAACUAAGUAAUAAUCACAGGUUUUAAAUAUCCAUUUAGUAAGAGGCUACUAAAAACAAAUCAAUACUUAAGAAAAUAUUGUUGUAAAAAUCCAAAUUUUAAUUGUAUCUCAGGGUAAUGAAUUAACCUUAACAAUUUUAUAACCUUUAAAUUAUUUUAAACUUAGUUACAAUAUUCAUUUUAAACAACUUUUUACAACAUAUUUUAAUCUUAACACUAGUAAAUAAAAUUUAGAAAACAAUUUAAUGAGAUAACUUUACACAAAAACUCAGGAGACUAUAUCUAAAACCCCAAAAACAUAUAUCUUAUAUAUCCAAUAUUUAUGAACACAGGUAUAUUAAUGGUUUAUUUUCUUCACCAAAUUUAAAUCAAUUGCUUGUUAAAUAUUUCACAUCCUACCCCCUAGUUCUUACCAUCUUUUCACCCUCUCUUUUAUAAUGUCCCUGAAUUUCAGGGAGGAUAUACAUAUAUAUGAUAGGUAUCUCACAUUUGUAGGGGGGCACUCCACUCACACUUUCUCUCUGCACUUUGACCGGUUGUGAGUUUCUGCAUUAACUGCAAUUAGCAUAAUAAAAUUCUGCGAUGAGGGUUGAGAGCUGCACUGAUUUAUGGGUAAGAAAGAGGAAUUUUGAAAGCAGUUUGAUAUGAAGUCCAUUUAGCACCCACAGUGGGCUGGGUUCUCCCAUAUCAAUCACUAAUAAAGACAACCCCUCACAGACAUGCCCAAUCUGAAGGCAUUUCUUCAGUUGAGGAUUCCUCUUCCCAAGUGACUUUAAUUUACAUCACAUUGGUAAAAAUUGGUAAAACCCGGGGCCUAGCAAACACAGAAGUGGAUACUCACAGUCAGCUAUUGGAUGGAUCACAG
rnacentral:lncRNA from 1 species